rnacentral:rRNA from 1 species
UACCUUUAACAGGGGAAUAACCCGUUGAAAAACGGACUAAUACUCCAUGACACAGGGGUCCCGCAUGGGAAUAUUUGUUAAAGAUUUAUCGGUUGAAGAUGGGCAUGCGUUCCAUUAGCUUGUGGUGAGGUAACGGCUCACCAAGGCUACGAUGGAUAGGGGAACUGAGAGGUUUAUCCCCCACACUGGAACUGAGACACGGUCCAGACUCCUACGGGAGGCAGCAGUGAGGAAUAUUGGUCAAUGGAGGCAACUCUGAACCAGCCAAGUCGCGUGAAGGAUGAAGGUCUUAUGGAUUGUAAACUUCUUUUGCAAGGGAAUAAAGUGGGGGACGUGUCCUCCUUUGCAUGUACCUUGCGAAUAAGGAUCGGCUAACUCCGUGCCAGCCGCCGC